rnacentral:lncRNA from 1 species
CAGCGUUCUUUUGCCUCAAUGUGAGAAAGCAAUUUGCAUCCAGCCAGCAGGAUUAAGACAGAUGGAAGCAGCCUGCUUUCUCGUCUCAGAAACCCCUCUCAUCUUGCGGAGGCUGCUGUGCGGAAGGCGGAGGGAGCGGUUUAACGUGGCCUCUGCGGGCUGAGUUUCAGAUCUGUGGGUCAGCUGCCUUAGAGACGCCGAAGGAAGAAACUGAGGCUCAGAGAGCUUAAGUAAUUUGCCCAACGUCGCCUAGCAGCACAAAAGCAAAUCAUGCUUCUAAAAAAAAAGAAAUUGGAACCUUACAGCAACUUGGAAAAUGGGCGUCCUCCGUAACCUGCUAUUCCAAGUGGGGUCCUGGCUUGGCGUCACCUGGGAACGUGUCAGAAAUGCAGAGUCUCAGGCCUUCCCGCCCUGCCCGGCUGAAUUGGAAUCUGCGUUUCACAGGAUCCCACUGACUCACAGGCACUGUAAGUGUGAAGAGCUAGUGCAACCCUCCUCCUCUCCCACCCCCGUGAAGACCACAAGUGUCCCCAGUUUGUGUGCAUUUGAGAGCCUUUUAAAAAGCACACUCUUCUAACCUCUCAGUAAUUACCUGCAAUUUUGUAGCCGCAUCUGAAACCAAAAUCCUCUUCAAAGCCAUUCAGCAGGGAGCUAACAAAACAUCAUCAUCUUGUCUGUCUGCUCCCACUCUGCCCCCCUCCAACCUGUCACCCCCCCAGUUGCCACAGAGAUCUUUUAAAAAAAAAAAAAAGAUAAAUAAAUCAGCUCAUGUCGCUCUCCUGCUUAGAAUCCUGCGGUGGCUUUCCAUUGCUCUGGGAACAGCCCGGCAUCCUCGCCACCGCCUGUCUCCAGCGCCCUUCCUCCUGCUCCUCACUCCUGACACACUGAUCUUCUCUCUGGGUCUUUGCCAUCUCUGCUCCUGUGCCCGAUGCCCUUUCUUCCUCUUUCCCUGGAUGGUUCCUUUUCAUCCUUCAUGUCUCAACUUAAAUGUCACCUCCUCAGAGGUGCGAGAGGAAAUGCCCACCUUGGGACUAGCACACCCUUGCCUGCCAGUGCUCUCUGCCACAGCGGCUAUGGUCAGGACUGUCUCCCCAUAGAUGUGUGAGUCCCAUGGGAGCGGGGACCUCCUGCCUCACUCAGUCACUCUCCUUUGUAUGCAGUACUUGGCAAAUGGCCUGCACACGGUAGGUUAAUACUCAAUA